rnacentral:tRNA from 1 species
GGAAAUGUGCCUGAAAAGAAUAAGGGCCACUUUGAUAGAGUGGAUUAUGAGAGUUAAAAUCCCCCCAUUUCCU